GGCAUUUCCCAUGCUUGCACUCACUCCAUUCUGCUGCCCUGUGAAGAAGGUGCCUGCUUCCUCUUUGCCUUCUGCCAUGAUUAUGGUUCAAGGGCCCAGGAUGGAAGAAACUCUGAUGUCUUCAGCAUCUGGCUUACAGGGUCAUCCUGGGCAGGAGUAUCCAGCCAAAACUAGGAAAGUGCCGCAGAGCAGAGAAGCAAUUCUCAACAAGACAAAGCUAGUGUAACAGAGACUUGUGGAGUCAAGUUAAGAAGAGCAUAGACAGCGAGUGGAACUCUUGACUGGAGUCUCGUCCAUCAUUUCUUCUCUGUGUAACCCCAGGCUCUUAGUUUCCUCUUAUGUAAUCUGGAGAUAAUGACAUGUAUUUUAUAUAAUUAUCAUGAAUAUUAAAACAAAAACGCCUUUAUGCCACAUGUUUAACAUUGUGUCUACAUCACAGAUAUGUGCUUUAUAUACUCAGUGCUUUGUACCCACUGAUUCCUGGUGAAUGAAAUACAGUCAGAUAUCACAAUGACUGUCUGCUGAAAUGCUGGAAUCCUGCCUGUUGUUCAGGAACCAGAGUGGAGAAAAAUGAACACUGUAGUGUUUUUACUUUUUAGAGAAAGAUCAUUUGUAUGUGGCUCCACUGUAAUAAUUGCAUUUGCAAUGCCUUCAUGCUGUCACAUGGUCUAACCCCCAGGAUCUUAUCUUAAUAAAAAUUCAGUUAAACACAUGUUUAAAUUGGCCAGAUCAGCCAAAUCUGGAACAGGGAAAGUUGUUUUCCUCCUAAUGAACUGUCCCCUGGACACGGGCAGUGCCACAGAAGUUCAGAAAUGUUUAUUGUCCACCGCAUUUCCAGGAGUUAUACUCUUUGUUGAACCCCAUCAUGGUGCCGGGGGAGGCUGGUGAUUCAUUAAUUCACUGUGAUGAUUUGUCCUAAUUAUUCUAAUUACUGCCUUGUCUCCUCAGCCCAGCUGGUGCCUAAAGCAGAGGGAAAGUCACCAGUCAUGAGUACUGCGGCAGCCGCUGCAGAAUCCUGGGCAUUGGAUCUGUAGGAUUCACCGUCACCGCAUCAAAAAAAUCUUGCUGCUGCUGGAACUGACUUGGUCUUGGUGCUGCUCUGGCCUGAGUCAGGGUUCCCGGGGCCUCGCCAUGCAUGCAUGCUGUCCUCUGCUCCUCUUGUUCCUUUUCAGGGAGAGAAGAGGCCUGAUGGAGGGGGCUUUUCUGUCUUCCCAGCCUGCUGCCCCCCAACUCCAGACAGCAUCUGCUGUGUGUUCUUCGUGCACCCGUC